CUACGGGUUGCUGCAGUGGGGAAUAUUGGACAAUGGGGGAAACCCUGAUCCAGCAAUGCCGCGUGUGUGAAGAAGGCCUGCGGGUUGUAAAGCACUUUCGGUUGGGAGGACUGCUUCUAGCACUAAUAUUGUUGGAAGUUGACGUUACCUUCAGAAGAAGCACCGGCUAACUCCGUGCCAGCAGCCGCGGUAAUACGGAGGGUGCAAGCGUUAAUCGGAAUUACUGGGCGUAAAGCGCGCGUAGGCGGCGAGAUCAGUCGGGUGUGAAAGCCCCGGGCUUAACCUGGGAACUGCAUCCGAUACUGUCUAGCUUGAGUACAGGAGAGGAGAGUGGAAUUCCACAUGUAGCGGUGAAAUGCGUAGAUAUGUGGAGGAACACCAAUGGCGAAGGCAGCUCUCUGGCCUGAUACUGACGCUGAGGUGCGAAAGCGUAGGGAGCAAACAGGAUUAGAUACCCGAGUAGUC
rnacentral:rRNA from 1 species